UACGGAGGGUGCGAGCGUUGUCCGGAAUCAUUGGGCGUAAAGGGCGCGUAGGUGGCUGGGCAAGCGUGCGGUGAAAGCUCGGGGCUCAACCCCGAGUCGGCCGUGCGAACUGCCGAGCUUGAGCACUGUAGAGGCAGGCGGAAUUCCGGGUGUAGCGGUGGAAUGCGUAGAGAUCCGGAAGAACACCGGUGGCGAAGGCGGCCUUCUGGACGAUGACUGACGCUGAGACGCGAAAGCGUGGGGAGCAAACAGG
rnacentral:rRNA from 1 species